GAUGAAGAACGUAGCGAAAUGCGAUACGUAGUGUGAAUUGCAGAAUUCAGUGAAUCAUCGAAUCUCUGAACGCACAUUGCACCUCUCGGUAUUCCGGGAGGUAUGCCUGUUCGAGCGUCAUUUGUACCCUCAAGCUCUGCUUGGUGUUGGGUGUUUGUUCCGCCUCUGUGUGUGAACUCGCCUCAAAACAAUUGGCAGCCGGCGUACUUGUUUCGGAGCGCAGCACAUUUUGCGAUCCAGAUCAACGUACAGCGGCAUCCAAGAAGCCUUAUUUAACGCUCUUGACCUCGGAUCAGGUAGGGAUACCCGCUGAACUUAAGCAUAUCAAUAAGCGGAGGA
rnacentral:misc_RNA from 1 species